GGGUAGAGAGGAGCCCUGAGGCAGCACUUUUGUACCAUGUCUUCACUUUGAGGUUUGGAUCUGGCCUUGAAGGCAUCUCAGAGCCCUCGGAGGCUUUGAGGGUGGUAUUGGUGCUGUGUAUGGGUGUGCUGUUGAUGCAUUAUAGAAUUCAGAAGGCAAAAGCUUGGUCAAAGAAACAGCAAUUAGUCAGGAGGUGCCUAAAACUGAAGAGAACAGAUGGAAAAAGUAACCCAGAUGUAUGAACUAAACAAAACAAGUUGUAUAUAAACAGUCUCAAACUGUUUACAAGGUCCAAAAAAAAGAGGAAUACAAAAGAUUUUUUUUCUGUUUGAGAGCAGAGGACACAUGCUGAUUCUUUGUCCCUUCCACCAGUGUGGGACAGCUUGUUGCUGGUGAUGACACAGUCUGUGCCUGUGGUGUUUUGGGAUGUGGGGCUCCCCACAUUACACAAGUGCUUCACCCAGCCAUUUCUGCAGUCUCUGCCAGAUACAUCAGGAGAAGUGUAACAACUACAGGCACCCGCUCAUUUGACUUAUUUCUCUUCUGCCCUUCUCGCUGUAUCAGAGCACCAAAUCAUCCCCUGCCCUGGAGCAAUCAGUCAUUAACGAGGACCUUGCUACAGCCAGGGGUCUUCUCAAGCCACUGCAGUCAAGACUACUUCUGGGAAAGAGAAAGCAAGUUCUAUUUUCAUCUGCUGCAAAAAGAAAAAAAUGACAAUUUUAAAAUCCUGUGGUUAUUUUUUUACCCCAUACCCAUGCAGGACAGCAUGGUAAGCUGCAGCACUGCAGAGAGAUGGCUUGUCAGAAGCUUGUCUACCACGAUGAGUAAAUAAAAAUUCAGCAAAUAUAUCCCCUUUUCCCAAGAGAGGGGGAAGUUGGCAGAGGACAUCCAGAGGAUGCAAAGGGCUAGCAAACAUUGCAAAGACUGGAGUUGCAUGGAGUUGCAGAUCUCUGGCUAGAGAGAGAAAUUGCUUCAGGCGGCCAGAGGAUGCUUCAUGAGCCCUCUGUUCGCAGAAAAGGAGCCUGCUGAAGUGUCUGUGGUGUGCAUGAGUGGAAGCAGCAAUAAAGUAACUGUGCUAGGAUCCUCAACUGAACAGAACCUGCUGCAAGGAGACAUGGUCUGGGUUAGUUGAUGACAAGCAGAAUUCCCAGCAACAAUUGCCUCCUGCCCUGGGAUAUCUAUUCUUCUACCAUUUAGCUCUAAGUGAAGCAAUUGGACUGUCAACACUCAUGGCUAGACCAUGCUCACAGGACCACAAGCCAUGUUUCUACAGCAAAGUGGAGACUGAAGGAAAGAGCAUUGCUUUAAUUCCUGUUGGCUCAGUCGCAUUAGCUCAACAUGAGGAAAACCCCCCCUUCACCUCUAGAAAUGCAAAAGUGAAUGUGGAUCUACACUGGAAUCUUCUGCACUUGUAGCUGGGAGCCAGGAGGGCUGGCGCUCGGGACACCUCCUCCCGGUGUGCUGCCAAGGACGGUGGCAGUGUCCGGUGUCCUCCCGCCCAGGGCGGCGGCCCCGGGCACACGGCAUCCGUCCCUGCUGCUCGCCCGAGCCCCUCGGGACCUGCUUCUGCCGGGAGAGGCAAGGUAACCUCGCCACUGAAAAUAGCUGGGACGGCGGCCAGCCGAGAUUAAUGGCUUCAUUAACGUCCCCAGUUUAUUUAUAGGCUUAAAAAUGCCUUGGACCUGCAAACUGAGCAUAGUUGCUCCGUGUAAGGCAGGGAAGCACAGGUCUCCUGCUUCUGCCUUUCCCUUUCCUGCUAUUUCAUUCUGAUUGCUGGGUCUGUAAAACCUCUGAAGCAAGCACUGUUUCUCAUUGUGAAGCUACUUUGUAAACCUUCCUAACUGAAAGGACACACACAGAUACUCUUUUUCUAUUUUUUUUUUCAAGAAUGCUGUAUUUGUCUGGUUUCCUUCCUCUACCGACUUUUUCUGUGCACACUGUGUCCUGUGGCCCUCUUAGAGAAAAUUCUCUUUUUGAUGAAUUCCUGAGGCAAAGGCUGAGCAGCCAUCACAGGAAUUAGUGACUUCCCACCUUGGGUUUUAAACUGUGAGCUCUGUGGGAGGAAGACUGAGAUUUUCAUACCUGUGGAGAGCAUGGAGGGCACUUAGGACAUGUAGGGCCCUGGUGAGAAAUGCAGUUGCAAUUAAUGAUUGUGGAGGUCUUCCAACAAAAGCCAGCACGCCCAGUGUCCAGUCCUCCAGGAGCCUUGUGGAACUGGUGAGAAAAGGAAAAAACACCCCAAGUGUGUUUGCCCCAGAAGAAGAGUUUUUGGCUCAUGACCUGUGGCCAUAGUGCUUGGCCUGUUUCCCAGCACAUGCUGAAAGCUGAUCUCAAAAGGAAACCUCAGCUGGAGCGAGGAUUUACCCGACAUGCUGUGUCUUCAGAGCGUGGCCAAACCACAGGACAGCCUGCAACGGGGCUCUCCUAAUCCUCUUGCUCAGGGUAGAAUUAUUUAUACUGUUUAUUGGACCAGAUGGAGCAGGAAUACCAGCAGGACUAAACUGCCUGCCCCAAAGAACAGGCCUGGGAUCUGGUAGGUAGUGGACAAGAGCAGUUGUUUCAGAGCAGCCAACAAAGAAGAGGCUGAAUUUGACAGAAUAGCAUGGCACUUGACUCCAGCUUAGCUUGGCCCUGUGUGUUGUGCCUAUGGGCCUAAGAGCAAACAAGUAUUUUUGUAAGUUUGGUGGUUUUUUUAUCCCAGCAUAAAAUGCCCAGGAAGAUGAUGCUAUAGCUCACCAGUGCUGAAUUCCAUAGGAUGUGUAGCAUGGCCUGGACUGAGGCAUGAGAGCAUCCAGGAGAGCUGGAGGAUGGAAAGUCUGGUGGGACCAUGCUGUAGGAACAUCCUGAGGGAAAUGAGACAGAGCUUGUUCAUGUGGCUCUUGCAAAUUGUCCCAGGAGUAUCCAUGCUCAGAGCAGCACUGCUUGGUGGCCAGAGGUCAGAGGUCUCUGGCUUGGUGGCCAGAGCUUGUUCAGAGGACAGCAUAGGUGUGUGCUGACCAACACCACGGGAACAAUCAAGGAUGAGGACCCAUAGUCAACUGGGGAGUUGUUUCUGACAUUGUAGGCACAUGUGACAGGCAUAGCUACAUCACCAGCAAAGAAGAGUUGGACUCCAGCCCUGGAUUUGUGCUCAUUGUCUGCUGGGCUCUCUGCUAACUCUGAAGCUUUGGUUUGGAUCACUCCAAGUUUGGAUCACUUUUAUCACACAAGAUAAAUGUUCUCCUUGGGAAAUAAGCUCUAGGUACAGUGCCUGUGAGCCCGGGGGUGCCACUCUCUUUGCCCUGGUCUUUUGCUGAGCAGUGUAGACACAGCCAGUCUCCUGCCUCUCUGUGCUCCAUCUCCAUGUGCCUCUGGUGCUGCCUGGCACACUGGGUGUGAUAUUGCUUCCAGGAAAGCUUUUUUGAAAUAUUUUCCAUAUGAGAAACAGAAGGGAUUUGAACUUGCAUCCUGAGUGCUCUGAAGCUGUGUUGUAGGCAGUGGAUUGCAGUGGGUGAUAGCUUCUCUUCAUAGGCCUUGUGGCUGAGGACAAAGUUUUCUGGGAAUCUCCCUUUCCAUUCCUAUGAGGGUUUUGGGGUUAACCUGUAUCAUGCUGUUUUAGCUUUUAGUUUGAAUGCCAGACAGAAAAUCAACUAUUAGAAGAUCUGCCUAGUCAAAUAGACAAAGGCCCCAAGAGGCAGAAGCUCGUUGGAAAGAGGUCUUGGCUUUGCAGAGAUCAUGAGGAUUUGGGCAGAAUUCAGGCAGAGGAUAAACCCCACUAUCCAAGAGGAUAACCUGAGGAAAGGGAGUUGCACAGGAUUUUUCCACUGCUGUAGGAACCUUUACUGCAAUUCAGCUCGUGUUGAUUAACUCUGGAUGCUGGAUUCUUAAAAAGUGAUUAGUGAGAUCACCCUGGAAAUAGAAACAGAUGUGCCAUCUGUUACGCAGCGUAUGGGAGGGAGAUUUUGCUGAAGCACUGAAAGAAAGGAGGAGAUCCCAACACUGAAAUGAGACUUCACUCCUGUCACUUUCUGGUUUACCUCCCCAGAAGCUAAACACCCCUGUGAACAUAUGAGGUGAACUGGUGGGAUUCGCUGCUAGUGGACUGGAGCUGUAGCUCUGGCUACUGACUGGGCUGAGAGAUGAGCUAUGGUCGCAUCUCAGCCUUCAGGGGAAGACAUGGUAUAGGGCUUGGUGUCAGAGACACUCUCCAAGCACCUGGAAUCCCAAAGCAGGAAGUCUGGGCUUCAGUCUGAGCUUGUGCUGGUGCUGCCUCAGAGCAUCUUUCCCCUCAGUGAAAUGUAAACUAGAGGUGGGAUUUUUUCAGCCCUUCUGUGGAGUUGUCCCUGUGCUGUAUCCCUGCCUCAAAGUGCUCUCCCUUCAUCCAGUAGUGACUCACUGCAGGUCCCGAGGAUUAUCAGAAGCACUAAGCAGCUCUGAGACAGCAAUUGGAAUUAUGCUUCUACAGCUGUGAUUGUCCACAGCCAUGCUCUCUGUCUUCCUCCAGAGCAGCGGAGGAUUUUAAGGAAUGGUGCAAGGCUGAAGAAGGCAAUACAUCCAUAUGUGCUUUCCUAAAUCUAAUCUGGCAUCCUUCUGGCUGCCAUAACCUCUGGAGAGCAAAGCACACAUUUGUGCUGUUCAUAGCACUGCUGCCUGAUAUCCAGUAUCUGCUCUAAUAGGGGAAACAUUGCAGCACCUGGGGAAAACGGGAGCGGGUUCCCUUUGAUCUGCAGGGCACCUCUCUGAGCACAGCUGCACAGCCAGGUAAAAAACUGUCAGGAUUCUUGUUUUCUGCUUCCUUUUUCUCUGACUAAAUCUCAAGUCUCAUACUCAAAAACAGCCUCUGGCAGGCCUCCAUGUAAAAAUAUAACAAUAUCACUACUAUUUAUUAUUAAUACAUGCUAUUUAUUAUUCAUAUUCAGGAGCAGAGAAGGGCCACUGCUUUAUGACCAUGCAAUAAAACAGGUUGCUGCUCCCCAUGUGCUUUGAAGCCCAGGACAUGAUCCAGUGAAGGUAGAAAAUAGGACUACAGGCACAUAACAGGGAUUGCUACAGUGAAUCCCUUUACAAAGACCAGACCUAAAUACACAACACACCUACAAAGCACAGGUACAGCUCCACAGUGGAAAAGGAGCCCAGCAUCCAGCUGCCUCCCUCAAGCAGAGGUGUUGCAAGCGAGGCUGAGCACUGCUUCACUAAUACCUUUGGGGAUCUGCUGAAUGUGGACCCUGCUGGCAUUGCGCUGGUUUUAUCUGGGUAAAGCCAGAUAAAACAAAUGAUUUAACUGCCCUCCUGUUGCUCCUCUUGCCCCACCUCUACCCACAUAUUACUUGCCCUUAUCUCUGGAGCCUCCACUGGGACCAAGGUGGGCAGGUGAUAUGCCACAAGGAGGCAGGUGACCAGAUGGGUUCAGCAUGCAGUUGUUCUUUACAUUUCCAGAAUGUCAUCUCAACCUGCUCCAACACCCACAGCUCCAGCAUUUCAUGGCUAUUCCCAUGGCUUGUUCCCCAGGAUGCUAGGAGGAGCUCAGUUUGGAAUUCAGGAGAGUAGAGGGGACAGCCUGGAGAGGAUAACUCACCUUCUGGAGGGCAGGGCACAUCUAGGGGCAGGUAGAAACUUCAAGAGCUAAGCCACCAUCUCCUCCCAACACCACCUGUAUGGUGAGGAACCUGAGUAGACCCCACCAGCUCCAUUCACUCUAACAGGGAUUUGGGGACACAAAAAUGUGUGGUGAGCAAGAAGGGCUUAGGUUUGCUCUCUGGUUCCCUAUAGAGGCAUUUUGGCACCUCACAGAGGAGUUAGGGGACAGACAAGCACAGCACAGGGGGAAAGCAGGAUGCUGUUGAAGCCUGUGGAGCCAGCAACCCCACCAACAUCUCUUUUUCCCCCUAGCAGUGGCAGCAAUCCUCUGCCUCCCAUCCCAAUGGAGCUGCCCCCCAGCAAGCCCAGCUGUCCUCAAGGAUGCCACAGCUCUUCCAGGCUCUCGCUUGUUCACGCAGCGCUGAUCCAAAAAAGGUGUUGGCAGAAGAUGUUACAGACCUUUCAAAAUCCCUCUUCAUACUCCAGCACUUCCUCUUCUCCAUCCUCAGACAAGAAUCACACAGGUCUGGACCUCAUUCCCCAGCCCUGGAGCCCCAGCAAACAGAAGCUGGUGCCCAGCAGCAAGUCCUCCCAAUUACUCCUUUGGAAAACAUUUUCACCAAAGAGUUGAUUAACACUACAAAGUGCCCUCUCUGAGCACUGUGUACCACGCACAGGGAUCACACACCCACUGCCCAGGGAGAAGAUGGGGUCCAUACUCCUCCUGGAAGCCCUAAUUGUUGAGGGGAGAAGGGAUGUUAUCAGGAAGGGCAAUGGUUAUCCUCAGAAAAAAAGUCACAUAAUAUAAAUUUUUGUCCCUCUAAAUUUCUCAUAUGAAAGCCAUUAAAAAAAAAAAAAAAAACAAAAAA
ensembl:lncRNA